GUGUAAGUAUAAAUAAUUUUACUUUGAAACUGCGAAUGGCUCAUUAUAUCAGUUAUAGUUUAUUAGAAAUAUUUUACUACUUGGAUAACCGUAGUAAUUCUAGGGCUAAUACAUGAGUAAAACCUCAACUUCGGAAGAGGUGUGUUUAUUAGUAUGAAAACCAUAUAUCUUCGGAUAUAAUAGUGAGUAAUAAUAACCUUUCAUAUCGUAUGUCGUAAGAUAACGAUNGUUCUUUCAAGUUUCUGCCCUAUCAGCUUUCGAUGGUAGUAUAUGGGACUACCAUGGCAGUAACGGGUAACGAAGAAUUUGGGUUCGAUUUCGGAGAGGGAGCCUGAGAGAUGGCUACCACAUCCNAGGAAGGCAGCAGGCGCGUAAAUUACCCAAUCCUGACAUAGGGAGGUAGUGACAAUAAAUCACAAUGCGGAACUUUUAGUUU
rnacentral:rRNA from 1 species